GAGGUUUGUGUGACUGCCCUAAUUUGCCUGUGGAACAGCGGUUCUUUAGCAAAUUUGGCGGUUUUAAAUGGCAGUAUCUCAUUAUCUGCUUCACUAAUAUAAAAAGUUAAAAAUCUAACUCUUAUAUUUUACUAAUAAACAUUGUGCUAAUGAAUCUAUGGAAACUCCAUCACAAUGUGAGAACCAUCGCAGUGUGAGAUCUACGAUCUCAUCCACGGUACUCUCUUUUGGCGACUGGCGGCAAUCUCCUCCAUCAACGUUUUUCUUCCAGCUGCGAUCUCCUCCAUCAAAUUUUCCUGCUCCACUGUGUUGUGCUCUGUGAAGCUUCUCCUUCUUCAUCUUGGUUGAACUAGGUCAUAAGAAAGACAGUCGGGUUUCAGAAGCAACUCGAAUAGCUGUCCAAGAAGAAGCGGAAAGGCUGAUUUUGCAGAAAAUUCCACUCCAGAAAAAAUUGUUUGAGAUUAUGUUUAAGUAUGGCUUGAAGGGUGUGAGUGAUGAUGUGGAGAGAUGCUUGUCACUGUGUGUGGAGGAAAGAAUGCGUGGACUGAUAAGUAACCAAAUUAGAAUGUCAAAACAGAAUUUUCCUACUAGCGGGUUAAUUUUGAGAAGACAAGACAUCAGACUGUUGUCACCUCAAAUGUUUAGCCGCAAAUCAUGAUAAUAAAUAGGAAAGUAAGAGAGGAGUGGGAGAAAAGACAGGCAGAACCAGAGAAGCUUCGGAAACAAAUGACGUUGAUGGUAAUGCAUGAGUUGAUGGUGACAAGGACAAGGAUGAGGGUUGUAAUAAAUCAUCAAAAGUUUUUUAUCCCAUUCUUAUAUCUUUCCAUUAUCUACAUGGAAACUCUUUUCAUUAAUAUUUAGUAAGCUGCAUGUGAACAAGGAAGAGGAUGACAAGAUGAGGACAAAUGCAGCAAAUGUUGCUGCUAGUGCUACUGUUGGGGGAGACGACAUGCUCUCAAAAUGGCAACUUAUGACUGAGCAAGCCAGGCAGAAACGUGAAGGCACGGACACAUCAUCUGGUUCUCAACCAGCUAAAGAUGUAAGUCGCAAAUCUUCAGCAUUUGGCAAAAGUAUUAAGGAUAAUCACGAAGGAGACAAAAAAGGUUCUACUAAUUUUGCAACUUCAGGUAUUUUUUUUGCAGAGAACUCCCAAGCUGAUGAGUCAAUCAUCGUUCUUGAGGUUUGAGAAACACCAUCAUAAAAAGUUUGGAUUUAAAGUCAUUCGAAGAAAGCAUGAUGUGGACAUCUUCUAAACAUCUCCUUGUACCUCUCCUAAAUUUCAUAGAAUGACUUACCCUCUUUUUGGGAGAAUGAGUUGAUGUCAUUCCUUAAUCGGGCCAGCUUUUGGGGUGAAAAGUAUUUAGUUAGGAAUUUGCUGACUAUAUCCUCUCAUGAAGUGAUGCUACUCAAGGAUUACGAUUGGAGCCAUUGUGUGACUCUGUUCAUCAAAGUGAAGGGAAAUAAUCUCAGCCGGAUAGCUUUCGGACUAACUCCAUUACUUUUCAGAAAGUUUGUUAUGUGGAUAUUCGGAUCUUCUUGAGGCCUACCUCCAAAUUGGUCCCUCUAUACUAAUUAGAUGAGUGAAGGCUUUAGGUCAAAGAUAUUUGCUUGAACUGUGGGCCUUACUAUGUUAUCUUCAUAGCUGUAAGAGGUGGGUGUGUUGUAAUCUCCAAGGGUUCUUUUUGCACUGUUUUGAUCA